rnacentral:rRNA from 1 species
AGAGCGAACGCUGGCGGCAGGCUUAACACAUGCAAGUCGAGCGGGCGUAGCAAUACGUCAGCGGCAGACGGGUGAGUAACGCGUGGGAACAUACCUCUUGGUUCGGAACAACACAGGGAAACUUGUGCUAAUACCGGAUAAGCCCUUACGGGGAAAGAUUUAUCGCCGAGAGAUUGGCCCGCGUCUGAUUAGCUAGUUGGUAGGGUAAUGGCCUACCAAGGCGACGAUCAGUAGCUGGUCUGAGAGGAUGAUCAGCCACAUUGGGACUGAGACACGGCCCAAACUCCUACGGGAGGCAGCAGUGGGGAAUAUUGGACAAUGGGGGCAACCCUGAUCCAGCCAUGCCGCGUGAGUGAUGAAGGCCCUAGGGUUGUAAAGCUCUUUUGUGCGGGAAGAUAAUGACGGUACCGCAAGAAUAAGCCCCGGCUAACCUUCGCGCCAGCAGCCGC